rnacentral:lncRNA from 1 species
UCUUGGCCUCCCAAAGUACUGGGAUUACAGUCGUGAGCCACCCCACCCGGCCGAUGGUUGGUUUCUUAAGAAAGGUACUCAGGUCAGAAUGUGGAAUCCAAAGACGAAAUAGAAAGCAGAUAUGUCUCAUCCUGCUGAGGCUAACUGAACAUUCUGUAUACCUCUGGGAGAGAUCUUCUAUGUACAUGAACAUAGACAGAGUCUCACUCUGUUGCCCAGGUUGGAGUGCGA